rnacentral:lncRNA from 11 species
AGCUGUCCAGCUCUUGGUGCUCUGGAUCUUAUUAACGUCACUGAGCUCUGGAGCUGAGAGCUGAACUUUCCCUGCCGUUAGCAGGCCCCUGAAUGAACUGGAGUUCGCCAAACUUUCUGCAGCUAAAUAAACUCACUAUUACUUGAAGGCUUCCUCCAGAACACAAAAGUUGACUUUAACCAGCAUCAAGGAUGGUGGGCUUAAAAUAUAGUUGUUAAC